UUUUCAGCUAAAUAUCUAGUGAAUUUGGUAACAGGUGCCUCUGAGCAUACAGUGAGUGGUGGCAACAUCUGCCAUUUCCAAAGAUGGAGAAUUACAUUUUUGUAUGUUUGUUGGUGUUCUUACUUUGAUUCUUCUCUGUGUUACUACUCUUUCUGCAGAGAAUCUGUCCUAAAAAAUUAUUUCUCUCAUUAUUCAUUGUAGAAAUCUGUGUCAAAUUUAUUUUCCUUAAUUUCAAAGCCCUUUUAUUGCGAUGUCAUAUGAUGGUGAAGAUAGCCUCUUUUGUUUCAAACUGAAAGUUAUGCUCUAUUUCUAUUUUGGGCACAUUAACAGUUGAAUCUAAAACUGCACUUUGAUGUAAAAUCAGACGGAUUACAAUACGUUGAUACUUCAGCAAUGACUCUAGCUGUUGGAAAAAACAAACUUGGCCUGCACAAGAUGCAUGUUUCAGCCUGCUAUGCUUCAACUACUCCACUUAAGGAAAGUUGUCUGGUCUGACCUGUGACAAAACCCUAAUAUCAAACGGGAACAGCUGCAGCACGAGGGGACUGAGGAAGACCUGCCCUGGGAACUACCUUCCAGUAAUUCCAACAUGGCCAUCUAUUCAGUGCGAAUAUACACUUUCCGACCCGGCCAUUUCGAGGGCCCUCCCAUCGUCUUCGGACCCAUGACCGGGAGACCACCCUUCCUGCAAGAAGUCUACAUCAUCCCAGCCGGACCCACCCUUCCUGAUAGCUAACUAUUCAAUCCAUGCUCAGAGCUUGGAAGUAACUAGUUACAAGUAAUGAAUUACUUGUAAUUUAUUACUUUUUUGAGUAACAAGUGCGUAACUUCAUUACAUUUUGCUGGUAAUAGAAUGAGUAGUAACUUCAUUACUUUUGAGGAGUAAUGGUAAUGUUUCCAGCAUUACUUUUGCGCAUUACUUGGGGGGGGUUUGCUGACGACACUA